CAUUAAUUAUGUUAGGUGAGGCUCCUAUUGAGAUAAACGCUGCUGCCCAGAAAUGUCGAGAGACGCCAAUGCGGUUAACAGAUAUAAUCGAGAAGGUUAUAUUUAAUGCAGCUGACUUCGAAAGGUCAAAGCUCUCUAGUGCUAAAGCUCAACAUAGAAGGAUUAUU
rfam:Geosporobacter ferrireducens strain IRF9, complete genome.